GACGGAGGAUGCAAGCGUUAUCCGGAAUGAUUGGGCGUAAAGCGUCUGCAGGUGGCAGUUCAAGUCUGCUGUCAAAGACCGGGGCUUAACUUCGGAAAGGCAGUGGAAACUGAACAGCUAGAGUAUGGUAGGGGCAGAGGGAAUUCCUGGUGUAGCGGUGAAAUGCGCAGAUAUCAGGAGGAACACCGAUGGCGAAGGCAGGUCUCUGGGCCACUACUGACGCUGAGAGGCGAAAGCAUGGGGAGCGAACAGG
rnacentral:rRNA from 1 species